rnacentral:rRNA from 1 species
GACGAACGCUGGCGGCGUGCUUAACACAUGCAAGUCGAACGGAAAGGCCCUGCUUUUGUGGGGUGCUCGAGUGGCGAACGGGUGAGUAACACGUGAGUAACCUGCCCUUGACUUUGGGAUAACUUCAGGAGACUGGGGCUAAUACCGGAUAGGAGCUCCUGCUGCAUGGUGGGGGUUGGAAAGUUUCGGCGGUUGGGGAUGGACUCGCGGCUUAUCAGCUUGUUGGUGGGGUAGUGGCUUACCAAGGCUUUGACGGGUAGCCGGCCUGAGAGGGUGACCGGCCACAUUGGGACUGAGAUACGGCCCAGACUCCUACGGGAGGCAGCAGUGGGGAAUAUUGCACAAUGGGCGGAAGCCUGAUGCAGCAAAGCCGCGUGCGGGAUGACGGCCUUCGGGUUGUAAACCGCUUUCGCCUGUGACGAAGCGUGAGUGACGGUAAUGGGUAAAGAAGCACCGGCUAACUACGUG